rnacentral:lncRNA from 1 species
UGAAGACGGCUUCUUACUUCUUAGGGCAGGCGUAGCCGUAGCGGGAAUUUCGAAUUGAAGAUAUAUCUUUUCUGUUCUGUAGAAAUUUGGGCUAGAUUUGAAGAUGAAAAACGCAUCAAUAGACAAGAACGGCAUUAAUGUUGUGUAUUUCAAGUUUUUACUCCUCUACCAUCACGACUUGGAGCGGAUGGACAUGUGACUCAGCCAGGCUCAGCAGCAGGCAGGCAGGUCUGACUUGGCCAAGCCUGGCCCGUUGGAUCCCCGUGCAAUUUCUGGAGCGAUUGCCUCAGUAGGCUAGUGCUAGCUAGUGAUCCGGCCGCCAAUCCCUGUCCCUGAGCAGCUGACCAUCAUCUUCUUAGCCUUUGCUGACCGACCACCAUCAUGUAGUAGGGGAUUGCCUCUGAGUUUGGAUUGAAUUGAGAGAACAUCACUUAAUCAGUGCAAUUGAUGGCAGGAAGAGAUCACUGUGAUGUCAUCAACCAUGACCAUGUUUAUCUACUCAGCCCAGGAACAACAACAAGGAAGUUUGAAAAAAGUUGCACCUGUUCAGAAUUUGCAUCAUAAGGAUGUACCGUGGCGGUGCUCCAUGCAAUGACAUGAUCAAAAUGGCUGAAACAACAAAUGGCACGAGUACAUACAUUUGCAGAUUAAACUCCAGAUACCAGAUCGAGUGAUGACAACAUGCACAAGGCCCUUUUUAGGUACAGGCACGCUGAUUGGCGGUUGCUUCCCCGGCUAACCCAUGCAAACCGCAGAUUAAAUGUUUCCAUUGUGGAUGAAAAAGGUAAACAAAUUCUCAUGCCACACAAUUUGCAUAUUGCAGGACAGUCUUUUACGACGGGCCCAAAAGUCUCUUCCAAAAUCAGUUACCGUCGUAAAGGUAGG